rnacentral:rRNA from 1 species
GACGAACGCUGGCGGCGUGCUUAACACAUGCAAGUCGAACGAGAAUCUGUGGAAAGAGGAUUCGUCCAAUUGAAGCAGAGGACAGUGGCGGACGGGUGAGUAACGCGUGAGGAACCUGCCUUUCAGAGGGGGACAACAGUUGGAAACGACUGCUAAUACCGCAUAACAUAUAGAUGUCGCAUGGCAUUUAUAUCAAAGAUUUAUCGCUGAAAGAUGGCCUCGCGUCUGAUUAGCUAGUUGGUGAGGUAACGGCCCACCGAGGCGACGAUCGGUAGCCGGACUGAGAGGUUGAACGGCCACAUUGGGACUGAGACACGGCCCAAGCUCCUACGGGAGGCAGCAGUGGGGAAUAUUGCACAAUGGGGGAAACCCUGAUGCAGCGACGCCGCGUGAGUGAUGAAGUAUUUCGGUAUGUAAAAACUCUAUCAGCAGGGAA